rnacentral:rRNA from 1 species
CGGCGGACGGGUGAGUAACGCGUGGGUAACCUGCCUCAUACAGGGGGAUAACAGUUGGAAACGGCUGCUAAUACCGCAUAAGCGCACAGCUUCGCAUGAAGCGGUGUGAAAAACUCCGGUGGUACAAGAUGGACCCGCGUCUGAUUAGGUAGUUGGUGGGGUAACGGCCCACCAAGCCGACGAUCAGUAGCCGACCUGAGAGGGUGACCGGCCACAUUGGGACUGAGACACGGUCCAAACUCCUACGGGAGGCAGCAUG